UUUUGGCACAACACCGGGAGUGCAGUGUUCUCAACGGCUCUUGUGACAGUAACAGACGUCACCAAAAGCGUCGGAGCGCUUUUGAAAAUAUGUGGGGUCUUGAUAAACUGAACAGAUAUUUGAGGUUUACACAGCUACAUUCUCGCCUGAAAAUAUGUUAAACAUUUAUUUUGUGACCCAGAAAGAAUAAUAAGAGUAAUAUUAAAACUAACCAGCUGCCGCCAUUGUUGUAAUUGGCCUACUAAUGCGGGCACAGGAGGAUGCGGUUCUUGAAUUUGGACACAGCUUCUUCUUCUUCGGGGUUUAACGGCAGCUGGCAUCCUUGUACAUGCAGUGCUGCCAUCUUCUGUUUCAGUCCGUUAUUACACUCUUAAAACCUACUACUUAUUCCUGCGUCUUUUGGGAUCUUGCAACACUUCAAACCAUGCGCCGACUAUUAAAUUAGUCGUCGACGAUUUUGAUAGUCGACGUAAUCGUGACUAGUCGACUAAUCGUGGCAGCCCUAUACUUUACUAAGGUAGUCAAAUUCAAAGAAGCAUUUUUUUUUAAAUAGAUGUUGUAACCUGUCAGAACAUCAACAUGUUUCCUAAAUCUAGGAGGAGAGUGGUGGUGAUUUACAGCCUAUGUCUAUGCGCUGUUCUGGUGAUUGAAAUUUUGAGAAGGCAAACUAAUCUUUCUUUUUAUUUAAUUUUUUCCAAAACAAUUCAGGGUGAAACUAUUGCAUUUAACUGAAGUAAUGUUCAAUAAAAUGACAUCCCAGAUAAUUUAGAGGAUAGCUGUAGUGUCAGGUUCAAAAUCACAGUGAACUUAUAACCUGGAACUACGGAUGGAUUUAAAUGAAGGAUCCAAGCUGCCUUCACCAAAGAAGGGCCUGGUUCUCCUCACAACCAUAGAACAGAGUAUCCAGUGAAUAUUUCUGCUUUCACCUGUAUUCUUAAUAUUGUUUAUUUAUUUUUGACAAAGACAGAUGUUAUAGCUCUGAGUUCUUUUUCAUUGUCGGUUUAACACAUAUCCAGAAGACUGCGGCAUCAUCAGGAAACCCUGAAAAGAAGAGACCGUCAGGGACCCAGAUGGAGAAAACGACAGUGGAAGAAGGCAACAGCAGUGGGACUGCGGGACCGGUAAGAGGCAGGAAAAGGAAAUCAUCAGAGACAGUGAGCAAGGAAGCAGAAAACAGAAACGGGACUGCGGCAUCAUCAGGAAACCCUGAAAAGAAGAGACCGUCUGAGACCCAGAUGGAGAAAACGACAGUGGAAGAAGGCAACAGCAGGUUGUGCUGGUUACUCUUAACACUCUUAUCACAUUUAAGUGUAACUGCAUGAUUGGUUAAAGUGUCACCCCUUUUUGUGAGUAUGCAAAAUAAACUCUAGUGAAGUAAUAACUAGCUUUGGGUGACUGUUUAUACUAACUGCAAAUGUGUGAAUCCACACAAUGAACAGCCCCAUUUAUGUUGAAUUUGCUUCAUAAUAACAUGCCCUAGAUUUACAUAUCUACUUAGAUAAGAUAAAACUACACUUCAGGACAAUACAAAGGUAAACGUACAGUUUGAAAGCAGCACAGCUGCUGUAGACAAAUCAGCGAAGGUAUAAGAGGAAGGGACAGAGCUGACUGAUGGAGAGAAGGAAGGUAGUUAUGUUGUGUGUGUGUGUGUGUGCAGGAGAACAGGUUCUUUGCAGGUUGUUUCAAGCAGUGCUAUAUAGGUCUAGUUGGAUAGGAAGAGAAAUGGUGUGGGAGUAAUCUUGAAGUGUAUGUUAAUAGUGUGGUGGAGGUGAAGAGUGUGUCAGACGGGCUUGUGAAUUUGAAGCUAGACAAAGAUAUGAUGCUGAAGAUUGUCAAUAUGUAUGUACAGGUUGAAUUGCAGUUAGAAAAUGGUGAAAAAUUUCUGGAGUAAAUUUAACUGAGACCUUUUUUUUUAUGAAGUAGAAAGAUAAUAAGGGUAUACCACCAUCCAGAGGGCUCCAUGGGGUCAUUAUGGCUGAUUGAGUUCUGCAGGUCUCUGAAAUAUGGAUUUGAAUAGCUUAAUUCAACCAAUGGACUGUUAUACUUCCCAUGUCAGGUAGUACAAUCAGUGUAGAACUCAGAAAAUAACUUGUCAUUAAAAUCUUUAUUUCCUCUCAGUACCAAACCCAAAAGUUAACACAGGUGUCCACAUAAAGCUGAAAACUGUUGCAAAAGUUAUAUGGUGCAGCUUCAAGAAAUGUGAAUUUGUGAAAUAAUGUUAUUAAAAGCUUAAUAAUAAUAAUAAUUAUUAUUAUUAGAAUUAUUAUUUUGUGUGUGUGUGUGUGUGUGUGUGUGCGUGAGAUAAUAUCCUGCGCUUGACUGCUAUAUUUUCCUAUAGUCUAACGAACCCUCUUUCUAAUGAAAUGAUAAAAUCAUAGAAAAUGUAUCAUCUUUCAAACGAUGUUGCUACCUUGAAAUUGUACCAAAUAGUAGGAAUGACACCAGACAUAUGGGAAGUACAGCAGUGUAUGAAUUUCAGUACCCAAAUAUUAUUUUUGUUGUUGAUUGUGAAUACCAAUAUAUCAUUUACUUAAACACUGAAAUCCUAACUGUAAUUAAUUAAAUAUUGUCUUACACGAAUGACUACUGUCAUAUAGAUGAGAGAGAAAGAGACUGUUGAAUGAAAUAUGUCAACAGAGACAAAAGGAGUUGUUGUGGAUAGGCGUAGCUUUGGAUCACGUGGUGUCGGUAAUAGUAAUAGUGAUUGCUAUAUCACCUGUUCACGGCCCGAGGGAAUUUUUGUGAAUGAGUGGGUGAUGGGGGAAGUCGACUUUUGCUGACCGCUCAAGCUUAGAAUG